rnacentral:rRNA from 1 species
GUUAUAGGGUCAAGCGAACAAGUGCAUGUGGUGGAUGCCUUGGCGAUCACAGGCGAUGAAGGACGCGGUAGCCUGCGAAAAGCUACGGGGAGCUGGCAAACAAGCUUUGAUCCGUAGAUGUCCGAAUGGGGAAACCCACUCCUUUUGGAGUAUCCAUGGCUGAAUACAUAGGCCAUGCGAAGCGAACGCGGUGAACUGAAACAUCUAAGUAACCGCAGGAAAAGAAAUCAACCGAGAUUCCCAAAGUAGUGGCGAGCGAAAUGGGAUGAGCCUUGUACUCUUUAUUUGUAUUGUUAGCCGAACGCUCUGGAAAGUGCGGCCAUAGCGGGUGAUAGCCCCGUAGGCGAAAACAGUAUGAAAGAACUAGGUGUACGACAAGUAGGGCGGGACACGUGAAAUCCUGUCUGAAG